UACAGGGGGGUGCAAACGUUGUUCGGAAUUACUGGGCGUAAAGCGCGUGUAGGCUGCAAUGUAAGUCGGAUGUGAAAAGCCCUCAGCUUAACUGAGGAAGUGCAUCUGAUACUGCAUCGCUUGAGUGUCGGAGGGGAUGGCGGAAUUCCCGGUGUAGAGGUGAAAUUCGUAGAUAUUGGGAGGAACACCAGUGGCGAAGGCGGCUCACUGGACCGGUACUGACGCUGAUGCGCGAAAGCUAGGGGAGCAAACAGG
rnacentral:rRNA from 1 species